GAGCACCUGGGGCAAAGCCGGGCCCACCCACGGGAGCUCAGGUGCAGGCAAUGUUCUGUAGCGAGCGCAAGGGGCGGAGCUAGGGCGCACCCCUUCCCGUCCUCAUUUUAGGGCCGGCAGAGGACGAGAGAGUGUUUCUCUCUUGUGGUCUCUGCCUAAUAAGACUUUUUGAAGGCUGUUGCAACUUUGUUGCCGUUAACCCAGCGUUCUACGUACGCGCUUGGGUUAUUUCCAUCGCCAGAACGCAGAGCACCGCAACUGUCCUGUAACGACUUCAAUGUUGUCGGCGCGAAGAGCGCGGCUUCGGAGCUCCGCGGCUCGGUAGUAUCGUUCAGAGCCAGGGCCCCUUUCUCAGCGACGCGCCCGAGGGGCUGGGAGGGGACAGAAUGGCGACACCCGACUUAAACCGGUCUUAGGCUUCCACGUCGUGCAGCAAGAUUUCGGAAGGGAAGACAAGUCUGAAUUCACCUGCUCCAUCGUGCCAGAGGAGUCCACCUUUGCAUCAGAUACGCUAGAACAGCAAGCAGGGUUGAAAUUGCAGCGUCCCCAGCCCAGUUCUCUUCCCCAGGCAACACGGGACUUGGAGUAUUUCCCCAAAAAAGAAAAACAAGCAGAGAACAACCAAGCAGCCAGCUUCCUCCGCUUCUGAAGCGCUACUCGAGGCCCCGCCAUACGUACUGAGCCGGCUUCACCAGGAAUCCAAGGACAGCAAGCUGCCACCAAGCCACCUCCAGCGUCAGAACCGCCAACGCUGAGCUCUUCGUCUCCUGGGAUCCCUGUGUAAGAGGUAAGGUCCCUACAGCCAGUGGCAUUCCCACACAGCUAGGAUUUACAAGACAUUCAUUUUUGUUUUUCCAGCCCAAGUCCGGCUUAGCAGGGCUAUUCCCAGCAGCUGUAGCAGAGGCUUCAGCUGUCAUACUUAACUGGGGAGCCCCUCUGAGAAGUUAGCUGCAGUUAAGAUGUCAUUUUGGGAUUCGAGUACCAGAGCAACUUAUGGUAGCGCUUUAGUCUAAAAGCCUGGCUGCCAGUGGGGUAUCACAACGUAGCUAACAUUGUGGCUCAAACCUAGAAAGACCAACUGUUUGUUUGAGACGGUAAGCCCGCAUCAACGCUAUUGUUUGAGACGGUAAGCCCACAUCAACGCUAUUGUUUGAGACGGUAAGCCCACAUCAACGCUAUUGCUCCUCUAAGUUUAACAGCUGACCCCUGUCUCCACCUCAAAUUAACACCUCUCCUCAUUCUAGCAAGUAGCAUGGAUUACCACAGCAGAAUCCUCAGAGCAAGGAACAAGCACCUCUGACUAAGCAAUCCAUGUGGGAAAAGCCUCAUGUUCUAUUGAUCCCAGUGACUUUAGGGUGAAGAUGCUUAUUGUUGCAGAAUACUCAUCGUGAACCAAGGAAGAACACUCAGCUGCCUGCUGCAGGAGGAUUUCACAGCCAUCCACACCAGCAAAGAAUUUUUCCCAGGCACCUAUCUGCUCUUCAUUAAAGCCCAGACCCAAAUUUA